AACAUCUAAGUACCCCGAGGAAAAGAAAUCAACCGAGAUUCCGAAAGUAGCGGCGAGCGAAAUUGGACUAGCCCUUAAGCUUUACACGCGUUAGACGAACGGUCUGGAAAGUCCGACGAUACAGGGUGAUAGUCCCGUAGUUGACGACGUGUGUUCAGUGAAAUCGAGUAGGGCGGGACACGUGAUAUCCUGUCUGAAUAUGGGGGGACCAUCCUCCAAGGCUAAAUACUACUGACUGACCGAUAGUGAACCAGUACCGUGAGGGAAAGGCGAAAAGAACCCCUGUGAGGGGAGUGAAAUAGAACCUGAAACCGUGUACGUACAAGCAGUAGGAGCACCUUCGUGGUGUGACUGCGUACCUUUUGUAUAAUGGGUCAGCGACUUAUAUUCAGUGGCAAGGUUAACCAUCUAGGGGAGCCGUAGGGAAACCGAGUCUUAACUGGGCGUUCAGUCUCUGGAUAUAGACCCGAAACCAGGUGAUCUAGCCAUGGGCAGGUUGAAGGUUGAGUAACAUCAACUGGAGGACCGAACCGACUAAUGUUGAAAAAUUAGCGGAUGACUUGUGGCUAGGGGUGAAAGGCCAAUCAAACCUGGAGAUAGCUGGUUCUCCCCGAAAGCUAUUUAGGUAGCGCCUCGGACGAAUACUACUGGGGGUAGAGCACUGUUAAGGCUAGGGGGUCAUCCCGACUUACCAACCCUUUGCAAACUCCGAAUACCAGUAAGUACUAUCCGGGAGACACACGGCGGGUGCUAACGUCCGUCGUGGAGAGGGAAACAACCCAGACCGCCAGCUAAGGUCCCAAAUUACUACUAAGUGGGAAACGAUGUGGGAAGGCUCAGACAGCCAGGAUGUUGGCUUAGAAGCAGCCAUCAUUUAAAGAAAGCGUAAUAGCUCACUGGUCGAGUCGGCCUGCGCGGAAGAUGUAACGGGGCUAAGUAGUAAACCGAAGCUGCGGCAAUAUACUUUUGUAUAUUGGGUAGGGGAGCGUUCUGUAAGCGGUUGAAGGUGUGUGGUAACGCAUGCUGGACGUAUCAGAAGUGCGAAUGCUGACAUGAGUAACGAUAAAGGGGGUGAAAAACCUCCUCGCCGGAAGACCAAGGGUUCCUGUCCAACGUUAAUCGGGGCAGGGUAAGUCGACCCCUAAGGCGAGGCCGAAAGGCGUAGUCGAUGGGAAACGGGUUAAUAUUCCCGUACUUCUUACAAUUGCGA
rnacentral:rRNA from 1 species